AAAAGCAUCUCAGUCCACCGACCUGGGGAUUCCGGCAGUUUGGUUCUUACUAGGUACCCGUUGAGCUUUCCUGAGGAAAAGACCAAUGAUGAAAGAAUGGUGGCUGACAAAUUGUUAUAGGGAACAUUGGUGAAGAUGUUACUUGCUCACGUCAACCUGUUUGUGAUGGUUUAGGAUUCAGUGACCUUUGAUGAUGUUGCUGUGGACUUCAUCCAGGAGGAGAGGACUUUAUUGGACCUCACUCAGAGAAACCUGUACAGAGAAUGUGAUGCUGGAGAACUACCAGAACCUGGUCACAAUGGGGUGUCAGCUGUUCAAACGGAAUCUGAUGUCUUGGUUGGAAAAGAAGAAUUGAGGACAGUAGAGACAGGCGUUUCUCCAAAAAUAAGAUAUGGGACUGAAAACUAAAGAAUCAAGACUUCAGCAGAAUAUUUUUUGGGAGGAAACAGCCCCUCAAAUAGAAUACAAAUGGUAAGAUGGAUAAGUGAUAUUUCUUAUUUCCUACAUUCAGAAAAGAUUGAGAAUUAGAUUAGAUAAAAAAAUCAACACAAAUGGAAGAUAUUUGAAACAAGUGGUAUACCUCAAGACAGAGAUGCCUCUAGGGAGAUACUCUGACUAGGAUGCAUUUGGGGAUAUCCUAAACCUAGCUUGAAUCUUGUUGCUUCAGGGUUCCCACAAGUAUAAAAUCACACAUAUUUAAAGAUACUGAGGUUCAAAAAGAAUUUCCUGAAACAUGACAGGACUAAUUUUAAAAUUACAGCUGAUGGCACAACAUUCUGGCAGAAGAGUUCCAUCUUUCAAUUUGAAAGAAAUCAACAGGGCAGAAUUGUAUGCUUGUAAUGAAAAUGGAAAGAACACAAAAUGGAGGGGAAGUCUAUGACUGUAAACAAUGUGGGAAAGUCUUCAGUGAACACUCAUGUCUUAAGACACACAGGAUUAUUUAAAAUAGACAGAACACUUAUGAGGAUAAUUAUUAUGGAAAAGGUUUUCUAACUCAACCCAAUAAAACCUAUACUGGAGAGAAAGAUUCUGAACUUAAUCAGUCUGGAAAAGCCAUCAGCCUGACUCCAAAUACUGUGUACCAGAGAAUCUGCACACAAAAGAAACCUUUUGAUGCAUUGACUGUGGGAAAGCCUUUGUUAAUCAUUCAUACCUUUAGGCACACUUGAGAACUCACAAUGGAGAAAAACUUGAUGAAUGGAAGGAAUAUGGGGAGAUCUUGUAGUCACUCCACAAGUCUCACUGUCUAUAUACAAACUCACAACAUAAAAUGUUCCUAUGAAAGCAAAGCAUGUGAAAAAGGCUUUAGGUAUUCUUCAUAUCUUAAUAUUUCCAUGCUAUCACACACUGGAGAGAAGCCAUUUGAGUGUAAGAUGUAUGGAAAAGCAUUUAUGUAUUCCUCAUGCCUGAGUAUGCAUUUGUGGGCUCACAGUUCCAAAAACCUAUACAUUGGGGGCCGGCCUGGUGGCACAGUGGUUAAGUGCAUGUGCUCCACUUUGGCGGCCCAGGGUUGGCAGGUUCAGAUCCCAGGCACACACCGAUGCACUGCUUGUCAAGCCAUGCUGUGGUGGUGUCCCAUAUACAAAAUAGAGGAAGAUGGGCACAGAUGUUAGAUCAGGGCUAAUCUUCCUCAGCAAAAGGAGGAGGAUUGGCAGUGGAUAUUAGCUCAGAGCCACUCUUCCUCACACAAAAAAAGGAAAAAAGGCAUCUCAGGAGACGAAAGGAAAGAAAAAAGUAAAAAGGCUGCAGAUUUUAGGGGACUACAAGCCCUCCCUCCCUCCCUAAAAGGAAACUUGAAAUGUUAUGUAUUGAGGAAAUGUCAGCUCUGGCAAACCAUAAUGCUUGUCUUAUAUUACUUACUGAUUUAAAAACAACAAUGACAAAUAAAGCCCUAGAUACCAGAGAAGAAAAUAAAGGUUGACUACAUAAAUUAUAAAUAUAUAUGUGUGUGUUUGUAAUUUAUGUAUAUGUAUAUUUUAACAGAUGCAUAAUAAAUAAGUUAUUAUAUUGUA